rnacentral:rRNA from 1 species
AGAGUUUGAUCCUGGCUCAGGAUGAACGCUAGCUACAGGCUUAACACAUGCAAGUCGAGGGGCAGCAUCAUCAAAGCUUGCUUUGAUGGAUGGCGACCGGCGCACGGGUGAGUAACACGUAUCCAACCUGCCGACAACACUGGGAUAGCCUUUCGAAAGAAAGAUUAAUACCGGAUGGCAUAGUUUUCCCGCAUGGGAUGAUUAUUAAAGAAUUUCGGUUGUCGAUGGGGAUGCGUUCCAUUAGGCAGUUGGCGGGGUAACGGCCCACCAAACCAACGAUGGAUAGGGGUUCUGAGAGGAAGGUCCCCCACAUUGGAACUGAGACACGGUCCAAACUCCUACGGGAGGCAGCAGUGAGGAAUAUUGGUCAAUGGACGAGAGUCUGAACCAGCCAAGUAGCGUGAAGGAUGACUGCCCUAUGGGUUGUAAACUUCUUUUAUACGGGAAUAAAGUGAGGCACGUGUGCCUUUUUGUAUGUACCGUAUGAAUAAGGAUCGGCUAACUCCGUGCCAGCAGCCGCGGUAAUACGGAGGAUCCGAGCGUUAUCCGGAUUUAUUGGGUUUAAAGGGAGCGUAGGCGGGUUGUUAAGUCAGUUGUGAAAGUUUGCGGCUCAACCGUAAAAUUGCAGUUGAUACUGGCGACCUUGAGUGCAACAGAGGUAGGCGGAAUUCGUGGUGUAGCGGUGAAAUGCUUAGAUAUCACGAAGAACUCCGAUUGCGAAGGCAGCUUGCUGGACUGUAACUGACGCUGAUGCUCGAAAGUGUGGGUAUCAAACAGGAUUAGAUACCCUGGUAGUCCACACAGUAAACGAUGAAUACUCGCUGUUUGCGAUAUACAGUAAGCGGCCAAGCGAAAGCGUUAAGUAUUCCACCUGGGGAGUACGCCGGCAACGGUGAAACUCAAAGGAAUUGACGGGGGCCCGCACAAGCGGAGGAACAUGUGGUUUAAUUCGAUGAUACGCGAGGAACCUUACCCGGGCUUAAAUUGCAAAGGAAUAAUCUGGAAACAGGUUAGUCUUCGGACCUUUGUGAAGGUGCUGCAUGGUUGUCGUCAGCUCGUGCCGUGAGGUGUCGGCUUAAGUGCCAUAACGAGCGCAACCCUUAUCGAUAGUUACCAUCAGGUUAUGCUGGGGACUCUGUCGAGACUGCCGUCGUAAGAUGUGAGGAAGGUGGGGAUGACGUCAAAUCAGCACGGCCCUUACGUCC